CGUACACUCCUGCGGGAGGCAGCAGUGGGGAAUUUUGGACAAUGGGCGAAAGCCUGAUCCAGCCAUGCCGCGUGCAGGAUGAAGGCCUUCGGGUUGUAAACUGCUUUUGUACGGAACGAAACGGCCUUUUCUAAUAAAGAGGGCUAAUGACGGUACCGUAAGAAUAAGCACCGGCUAACUACGUGCCAGCAGCCGCGGUAAUACGUAGGGUGCAAGCGUUAAUCGGAAUUACUGGGCGUAAAGCGUGCGCAGGCGGUUAUGUAAGACAGUUGUGAAAUCCCCGGGCUCAACCUGGGAACUGCAUCUGUGACUGCAUAGCUAGAGUACGGUAGAGGGGGAUGGAAUUCCGCGUGUAGCAGUGAAAUGCGUAGAUAUGCGGAGGAACACCGAUGGCGAAGGCAAUCCCCUGGACCUGUACUGACGCUCAUGCACGAAAGCGUGGGGAGCAAACAGGAUUAGAUACCCCAGUAGUCCCAUGA
rnacentral:rRNA from 1 species